UACGUAGGGUGCAAGCGUUAAUCGGAAUUACUGGGCGUAAAGCGUGCGCAGGCGGUUUUGUAAGUCUGACGUGAAAGCCCCGGGCUUAACCUGGGAAUUGCGCUGGAGACUGCAAGGCUUGAAUCUGGCAGAGGGGGGUAGAAUUCCACGUGUAGCAGUGAAAUGCGUAGAGAUGUGGAGGAACACCGAUGGCGAAGGCAGCCCCCUGGGUCAAGAUUGACGCUCAUGCACGAAAGCGUGGGGAGCAAACAGG
rnacentral:rRNA from 1 species